rnacentral:ncRNA from 1 species
ACAACUCAACUAUGGAACUACCCCCUCUAUUUAAGCAUAUUAAUUGGGGGAGGAAAAGAAACUAACAAGGAUUUUCUUAGUAGAAAACAGUUCAGCACUUAUAUUGCAAAUGUGAGAUGCAGUGUAUGGAGCGUCAAUAUUCUAGUAUGAGAAAUUAAUGAUUUAAGUCCUUUUUAAAUGAGGCCAUUUACCCAUAGAGGGUGCCAGGCCCGUAUAACGUUAAUGAUUACUAGAUGAUGUUUCCAAAGAGUCGUUAUGCUUGAUAGUGCAGCACUAAGUGGGUGGUAAACUCCAUCUAAAACUAAAUAUAACCAUGAGACCGAUAGUAAACAAGUACCGUGAGGGAAAGUUGAAAAGAACUCUGAAUAGACAGUUAAACAGUACGUGAAACUGCUUAGAGGUUAAGCCCGAUGAACCUGAAUAUCCGUUAUGGAAAAUUCAUCAUUAAAAUUGUAAUAUUUAAAUAAUAUUAUUAAGAAUAAUGUGCAUUUUUUCCAUAUAAGGACAUUGUAAUCUAUUAGCAUAUCCCAAAUUUAUCAUAAAAUAUAACUUAUAGUUUAUUCCAAUUAAAUUGUUUGCAUUUUAACACAGAAUAAAUGUUAUUAAGAUGGUGAACUAUACUUGAUCAGGUAAAGUCAGGGGAAACCCUGAUGGAAGACGAAACAGUCUGACGUGUAAACGAUGUCAGAUUGACUAUAGGGGCGAAGACAUCCAUCACCAUCGUCUUU